rnacentral:rRNA from 1 species
CCUACGGGGGGCAGCAGUGGGGAAUAUUGGACAAUGGGCGAAAGCCUGAUCCAGCCAUGCCGCGUGUGUGAAGAAGGCCUUCGGGUUGUAAAGCACUUUCAGUGGGGAAGAAAGCCUUGGGGCUAAUACCCUCGAGGAAGGACAUCACCCACAGAAGAAGCACCGGCUAACUCCGUGCCAGCAGCCGCGGUAAUACGGAGGGUGCGAGCGUUUAUCGGAAUUACUGGGCGUAAAGCGCGCGUAGGCGGUCUGAUAAGCCGGUUGUGAAAGCCCCGGGCUCAACCUGGGAACGGCAUCCGGAACUGUCAGGCUAGAGUGCAGGAGAGGAAGGUAGAAUUCCCGGUGUAGCGGUGAAAUGCGUAGAGAUCGGGAGGAAUACCAGUGGCGAAGGCGGCCUUCUGGACUGACACUGACGCUGAGGUGCGAAAGCGUGGGUAGCAAACAGGAUUAGAUACCCCAGUAGUC